rnacentral:lncRNA from 1 species
GUACGUUAAAACAGUAUCUGACAAUGCAGCAGCACAUAUUGCAUAAUAGCUUACGCCUCAACGUAAAUGCGCACACCGUACCAGGAAACGAAAAGUCGACUGCGGAUCUGCAAGGGAUAGGAUGGUAGUGGAUCAGAUGAUUAUAUAAAAGUAUAAUGUGCCCGUGUAACCAACAGAUGAUCGAGAUGACAGGAUGUGACAUCACCGGGUCCAAACGGCAGGACGGGCUGUCUAGGAUGUCCAGAACCCGUGCUGCUGGAGGAUGCUUCCACGCAGCGGGGUCCAGACAAGUGAUGCUCGCUGGAGGAUGCAGGAGUGAACCAGGCAGGCGAGACAGAGGCACAGGAGACUGAAAAAUCUCUAUUUCCUCUACUUCCUGGUUUGAGUAUGACCCCUCACCUGGCUUUUGACCCUUCAACUGGAUAUCACUCCUAAGAGUUGGCUUUGGGGCAGACUACUCCUGUUGAACCACAGGCCUUGUCCAGAGGAGAAUUGAAACAGGAAAAAGCAAUUACGGGAGAGAUUGUCCCACAGGCAUUGAAAGACUAUCAGCAUGAGGGUUUGGAUUGACUCAGGGACACCUAUGGCCCUUGCAUUAUCCUGGCAUGAGGUCGCUUUAGCAAUAGUCUGGCAAUUUCCGCCAGCACCUGGCUCCCCAGCCCCCACAUCCCCCUCUCACCAGGCCCUACCUGUCCCCCCUCCCUCUCUCCCUCCCUCUCCAAGCCUAACACACACCUUUCUCAUUGUGCUGCCAUAGUGGCAACUAAGACGAAAACAUGCAAGGACAAUAGUGUCCAGUAGACAUGGUAGACGUUAUUAGCAAUAGCACAGAUGUUUUUCCAUCAUAGCGUGGGUGAAGUAGGCGGCUCCCAGGUGAAAAUGGAUGUUGAAUACUGUGGGCUCGGUUGUAGCGAAGGGAACGUGUGAAGUCUGGAACGAGAUGGGAACAGUGAUAAUUCACUAAGAAACAAAACCUACAGACAAUGAAAUAAUAGCUGCUACUUCUUCACAGGGAAGAUGUAACCCUGGCCUUAUUGUUUGGGCCUAAGGCGCAGUGGGAGAAUCAAAUAUGGAGAUGUGGAGAGCAGAGAGUGGAUUGGAGAGGAAUGUUCCAGUGUUGUGUCAGCUGCAGACAUGAGGAGCAGAAGAUCUCACUACCCUAUCCAUUGAACAUAUGUUUUGGCCCUGUCGUCUAGUGCAAGCAUUAACACUUGUGUAAACUUACCCCUCCUUCUACUCCUCACCUACAGUCCUUAUACAGGUGCUCUGUUGGCUGUAGAGGCCAUGCACCCUAAGACCUCUCUCAUCCCAUGUUCUGACUCCCUGGUAUGUGUGGAGCUGAGGCACUGUUUUCUCAUUGAGGUAUUUCCCUUCUUAUUUACUGGCGCAAGGGGUCCGUUGCCCAGGGCAAGACUUUAGCCCCAACUGUGAUCAUAUGAUGUUGCCACUUUGUCUUGCUCUCUCUGGUCCACUGUCACCACCCAUGGCCCUGGAAGAGAAGAGGUGACCGAGCAGUGUGUCUGUUCACCUUUCCCUUCUCAAUCAGCCACUACUCACAGUGUUGUCUCUGUUGCGUCCCUUUUGGCUAGACCUCUCUCUCUCUCUCUCUCUCUCUCUCUCUCUCUCUCUCUCUCUCUCUCUCUCUCUCUCUCUGUGGCCUUAAUGUAUUUGCUUAUGGUCACGCUUCAGUGUAUACAUACUGUAUGGUGUGUUACUUAUGUUUUCCUGGAUAUUUAAAGUUCAAGUGGAACCUUUCUUGGUUGUGCAAUAGCAUUCUGUUAUUUUGAACAUUUCACUAACAUUAUAUGGUAUUAUAGAGGGGGGAAAUGAAAUCCAUGUAUAUCAUGAGUCUGAAAAGUUGACAUUAUCAUAAUGUCCCCUGAUAAGAGUCUUGGUGGUCAUACAAUUAAUUUGAUUUUAAGGAAAUAAUGAAAACACCCCUAAAUUGAUUAUCCAAGUGUGAUGUACAGUAAUUGGACUCAUAACUGAUUUGUGUAGGUGAAAUGGAGAGCAUUGUUUUCCCUAUGACAUUAUAUGAGUUAUGGACACGUGUUUUUAUUUUCUCACAUUAAACAUAUAAACAUAUUACCGCCUUGCAUGGAAACUGAAAACUGCACGAGAGCAGAAAUGGGGGAUAAUUUGACCAAAGUCCGACAUGAUUCUUAUAUUUUGGAUUUGUAGACAUUUGACGUAGGCUACCCUGUGUUAGACACAUUGGAGAGGUUUAACGAUCUUAAAGGAUGUUUGUUUUCAUAGAAGACGCCAUUUUAUUGCAUGUUGAACGAAUAGCUCAUCUGAUAAUGAAUGAUAACAGCAGACUGAUGUAGUUCAUCCUUUGUUCAUCACUUGCCAGUGGGGUAUUGGGGAGAUAACUAUCCAAGCCAUCCCACAAAUAUUUUAUGGUGAUUAGAUAUGCCG